AUGAAACCCACCAGAAAUAUCAUCCGUAUCUGAUACACGAUCGAAAAUCCGAUCAGCAUUUUAUUAUUAUUAUUAUAAUACGGGUGUAUUGAUACCCACACUUGUACCAUCACGAUUCCUACACUACUACUGGUUAUCCUGGGCCAAAGUAAUAAUAUAAACAUAUUAUACACCUAACGCGAUAGUUUUAUAUAUUGUGCUGACAAACGGCGUUUAGAAAAAAAAAACAUGACUUUUAACUUUAUUCUAUUGACCUAAUUAUAAGCAGAUCUCAAUUGUUCAAUUGCAAUCAAGUCUGAAUGCCCUUGCAUCUGGCAUCUUAUUGAAAUUUUGACAACCCUUAAUCGAGAAUUUGUAUUUUUUAAUACCAUUUAACCACCCGAAAUCGCGUUUUUAUAUUAGGAGCAACCUUUUAAACUCCAGAACCCACGUCGGUAAAAUGUACUUAUAUAGAUAUAUACUUAAAAAUUUAAAGUUCAAACCUAUGUUGGAUUAUGGUGCGGAAUUCAUAAUAAUUCGAAACCAAUAAUUGGACAUUUAUACUUACUCUUACACCCACACUAAAUCCGGGCAAAUCAAGAACAAAUUAUAAACGAAUUCAUCGAAAGCUGGAUUUUGAUUCACACAAUUAGUACACGCCUUAUUGAUGAAAAUACUUAACUUUCCCAAGACUAACCCUCCAUCAUUCGAAAUGGGUGUUUUACAUUUUCGCGACAUUUUCAGUAAUAAAUCGUUCACAUUUAGACUUACGUAUAAAAUGUAUAGAACUAAAAUUGAAAGCCUUUAAAUUUGGUACUAUAAGUUGCGCUUAUGUAUUACAGGUAUUCUUAAAUUAUCACGAAAUAGCGCAAGUA